UGGGGCAGACCCACAAGUGUGGGGCCGGGACCCCCAAGUGUGGGGCAGGACCUAUAAGUGGGGGUCCCGUAACUGCUGGGCUGUUACGUGGGGGUCCUAAUGAACUUAGGGGGGAGGAGGGGGGUUCCAGGUCUAUGGGGCAGACCCCCAAGUGUGGGGCAGGACCUAUAAGUGGGGGUCCCGUAACUGUUGGGCUGUUACAUGGGGUCCUAAUGGGCUUAUGGGGGGGUGUACAUGGCUAUGGGGCGGGCUCCAGAUCUAUGGGGCAGACCCACAAGUGGGGGUCCCAUAACCAUUGGGCUGUUACAUGGGGUUCUAAUGGGCUUAUGGGGGGGGUACAUAGCUAUGGGGCAAGCUCCGGAUCUAUGGGGCAGACCCACAAGUGUGGGGCCGGGACCCCCAAGUGUGGGGCAGACCCACAAGUGGGGGUCCCAUAACUGCUGGGCUGUUACAUGAGUUCCUAAGGAAUUUAGGGGGGAAGGGGCUCCAGGUCUAUGGGGCAGACCCACAAGUGUGGGGUGGGACCCCCAAGUGUGGGGCAGACCCACAAGUGGGGGUCCCGUAACUGUUGGGCUGUUACAUGGGGUCCUAAUGGGCUUAUGGGGUGGGUACAUAGCUAUGGGGCAAGCUCUGGAUCUAUGGGGCAGACCCACAAGUGUGGGGUGGGACCUCCAGGUGUGGGGCAGACCCCCAAGUGUGGGGCGUCCCCGAUGUUCUCUUACAUGGGGGGG
rnacentral:lncRNA from 1 species